rnacentral:rRNA from 1 species
CCUACGGGGGGCAGCAGUGGGGAAUAUUGCACAAUGGGGGAACCCCUGAUGCAGCGACGCCGCGUGAGUGAAGAAUUAUUUCGGUAUGUAAAGCUCUAUCAGCAGGGAAGAAAAUGACGGUACCUGAUUAAGAAGCCCCGGCUAACUACGUGCCAGCAGCCGCGGUAAUACGUAGGGGGCAAGCGUUAUACGGCUUUACUGGGGGUAAAGGGAGCGUAGACGGCCGCGCAAGUCUCAAGUGAAAUGCCGGGGCUUAACCCCGGAACUGCUUUGGAAACUGUGCAGCGAGAGUGCAGGAGAGGUAAGUGGAAUGCCUAGUGUAGCGGUGAAAUGCGUAGAUAGUAGGAGGAACACCAGUGGCGAAGGCGGCUUACUGGACUGUAACUGACGUUGAGGCUCGAAAGCGUGGGGAGCAAACAGGAUUAGAUACCCGGGUAGUC